UACGGAAGGCAGCAGUGGGGAAUAUUGCACAAUGGGCGCAAGCCUGAUGCAGCCAUGCCGCGUGUAUGAAGAAGGCCUUCGGGUUGUAAAGUACUUUCAGUCGUGAGGAAGGUGUUAAGGUUAAUAACCUUAGCAAUUGACGUUAGCGACAGAAGAAGCACCGGCUAACUCCGUGCCAGCAGCCGCGGUAAUACGGAGGGUGCGAGCGUUAAUCGGAAUUACUGGGCGUAAAGGGCACGCAGGCGGUUAAUUAAGUUGGAUGUGAAAUCCCCGGGCUUAACCUGGGAAUGGCAUUCAAGACUGGUUAGCUAGAGUCUUGUAGAGGGGGUAGAAUUCCAUGUGUAGCGGUGAGAUGCGUAGAGAUGUGGAGGAUACCGGUGGCGAAGGCGGCCCCUGGGACAAGACUGACGCUCAUGUGCGAAAGCGUGGGGAGCAAACAGGAUUAGGAUACC
rnacentral:rRNA from 1 species